AGGUUGCAGUGAGCUACAAUGACACCACUGCUCUCUAGCCUGGGCAACAGAGCAAGACCCUGACUGCCACCACACCCCCUGCUACAAAAAUAAAGUAGAAAGAAAGAAAAAAAAAGGCAGCAGGCAGUAUUUGGUAGGCCAUGGUUUGCCAAAGCAUGUGAAGAAUUUAACAGAAAGCUAAGUAGGAGCAAGGAUUCAAUAAAUGCAGGUUACUCUUGAGAAACAAUAAAACAGCAGCCCCUGACAUCAGGAACUGGCCUGACCCCCAGCACUAGGCCAUGUUGUUUUCCCGCUGGAUGUCAACAAUCUAACAGAACGCUGACCCCAGACAAAGUCACUCUGAGACUAUGACAAAAUGAGACAAAGCCCGUCCAUUUCAUAAUCUUGUCUCGGGGCGGUCACUGUGCUGUCCACAAACUUGCUAAAUGAGUGACUGCUCUUUUACCCAGGCGUAGAAACGCCUUCUGGCUUCUGACAGUGCCCAGCCUCAAGCCCAGUCCUCUCACGGGUUCUUUUCCGCGCCCUCCUGCUGAGAUGCGCAGGGUAGCGCGUGGCGCAUGCGCCCCUCACUGCUGCGAGGAACAGCAGAUCAGCUUGUUUGACUACAGGUGUGUGGGUUGACGGCCACUGGCGCCUAAAGGAACUCCAGCAGGAAAAAAAUACCUUGAUUUUUUUCUUUUUACUUGGGCUUUUCCUUUACAUGAACAGCAGGCCACAGAUCAGCCCUGUGGACCGGGAGCUGAGGAUGGGAGUCCUGCCUUGGCUCUCUCCUUGUGUGGCCUGGUGACUUGGGGUGUCCCUUCCCCACCCCGGCAGCUCCCUCCCUGUUGGUACCAUCGGGGAGCAGGAUUCCAGGGUGGCUAAUUGUGUCGUCUUCACUGUGCCCAAGGCUGGCCCUGCUGACCACCAGCAGGGACCCAAGGCUGAAAGUCAGGUCAGCUCACCUUGGGCCGUGAGGACAAGGGUCUUGGGGCUUGCGUGCGGGAACACACGUCCACAAGCCAUGCACGAGGCUGGGGCCCAGGGCGCUGAAGCAGGGAUUGAAGGGCUGUUAAUAGCACACUAGGGUGGGGGGAAAGUUACUCUGCAGGGGAUGGCCAGGCAGAAAGAACUCUGAUCCGGUGACACCCAACCCCGCCAUCUAGCUCAUUCUGUGCUCUUCUCACCGGGGCCGGGACCUUAGUCAUCCUGCAGCACCACAUGUCCGCAGAGCUCGCCAGCGCCUCAGGCGUGCUCCACCGCCGUCCUCCCCAGCCCGGCUGGACGCUAGAACUCCCCGAGGGUCCCACCCCAGAGGAUCUGGUUUAAGGGUUCUGGAGUGGGGCUGGGGUCUCAGUAUUUUUAAAAAAGUCAUGCAGGUGAUUCCUUUAUGCAGCCAGGGUUGAGGGCAAUUCGUCUGAAGCGACAGAUAGGGAAACGAAGGCUCCGGUGGCUGCCUGUGUGCUUGGAGGCGAGGGCAUGUGCUCGCCAGUGUGCCACGGUCCCCACAGGACCCUGUCACUCAUUCGUGGAGCCCAGACACUCGCUGCCAGCAUCUGAGCUGGACAGCCCCGAUGGAAGGCCAUGCGUGCUAUUAAUACACAGAGGAGGGCGUCUACACAGAGCUGCAAACAGUAAUUAGCUUGAGCUAAUUAGGGAGGGGGGAGGGAGCUUCACUUUUUCCUUAUGCAGAUGAGUAAUGUCAAAACAUUUUACACUGGGCAUUAUUUUUCUAAUAACGAUAAUGAUUGUGAUUAAGUCAAUGAAGACGAGAUUUAAAAAAAUAGGAAAGCCAAGGUGCUGAGCGCUCUUAACCAUUUACCCGGGAUCCAACCUGUGACCACAGCUUCUUGUGACCACAGUAGCCCAAAAAACCACGUGGAGAAGGCCACUGGAGCAAAGUCUUGCAAGAGACUUCUCUGGGUCCAGAAAUCGCUGGUCACUGAGGAGCCUGGUGCUUAGAAAGCAGCACAGCGCUCCGUGGUGUGCACCCCCCGCUUGUGCCCACGCCCGUGCUAGCGAUGAAGCCCACGCGGCCACCGACUCCCUGCAGCACAGGGAACGCCGCCGAGAAUAACGCCAUGUGUGCCCCUCCCGGGCCUGCGUGGGAACCCCUUCAGCAUUUGCAUCCAGGAGCAGAAGCACUGGGUUGCAGGAAACAGAGUCUCACUCAGUUGCCCAGGCUGGAAUCCAG